rnacentral:rRNA from 1 species
UUAGGAAUUUUGGGCAAUGGGCGCAAGCCUGACCCAGCAACGCCGCGUGGGUGACGAAGGCCUUCGGGUUGUAAAGCCCUUUUCUGAGGGAAGAUGAUGACGGUACCUCAGGAAGAAGCACCGGCUAACUACGUGCCAGCAGCCGCGGUAAUACGUAGGGUGCAAGCGUUGCCCGGAUUUAUUGGGCGUAAAGGGCGCGCAGGCGGCUCGGCACGUCCGUUGUGAAAUCGCCCGGCUCAACUGGGCGGGGUCAGCGGAUACGGCCGAGCUGGAGCAAGCUAGGGGGCAAUGGAAUUCCCGGUGUAGUGGUGGAAUGCGUAGAUAUCGGGAGGAACACCAGUGGCGAAGGCGGUUGCCUGGAGCUUUGCUGACGCUGAGGCGCGAAAGCGUGGGGAGCGAUCCGG